rnacentral:ribozyme from 8 species
CUUCUCUUUUUUCUUCCAUUUUUUUUCUUCUUCUCCUUUUUCUCUUCUGUCUUUUGUGGUCCACUCAGACAAAGACAAGAGGGGAAGU